AGUAACGCGUAGGAACCUGUCGCGGAGUGGGGGACAACGCCGGGAAACUGGUGCUAAUACCGCAUGAUGUUUGUGGGGGAGACCUCAUAAAAGAAAGCAGCAAUGCGCUCUGUGAGGGGCCUGUGUCCGAUUAGCUUGUUGGUGGGGUAAAGGCCUACCAAGGCGACGAUCGGUAGCUGGUCUGAGAGGACGGUCAGCCACACUGGGACUGAGACACGGCCCAG
rnacentral:rRNA from 1 species